rnacentral:misc_RNA from 1 species
ACGCGCCUCACAAACCCGUUCGUGCUCGAACAUCGACAGCGCACCCAGACGUGUGGUCUUGCUCUUCUUCCUUCCGCUCGUUCUCAGCUCUUCUUCCUCCUUACCCAGUACGACGAGCUCUGACCUCUUGUCGUGUGCCCGCCUGUGUGCCAUACACCUGGCACCCACUCCUAAACACGCACUUAUCACACCUCCAUCGCAACACCAUGCUGUCCCGUGUGCAGUCUGCGAUGAUUCGCCGCGCCGCUGGGGUGCGCGCUGCGUCGUCGGCGGCGGCUGCCGCUGCCGCGAAGCCUGCGGAGCACAAGGGCCGCGUCGGCUACGUGUCGCAGGUCAUUGGCGCGGUGGUGGACGUGCACUUCUCGGAGGGCGUGCCGCCCGUACUGACGGCGCUGGAUGUGACGGAGGACCUUGGCCGCGAUGAGCCGCUGACGCUGGAGAUCGUGCAGCACUUGGAUGCGAACACCGGCCGCUGCAUUGCGAUGCAGACGACGGACCUGCUGAAGCUGAAGUCGAAGGUUGUGUCGACCGGCGGCAACAUCUCUGUGCCGGUGGGCCGUGAGACGCUGGGCCGCAUCUUCAACGUUCUGGGCGACGCGAUCGACCAGCGCGGCCCCGUGGGCGAGAAGAUGCGCAUGGCGAUCCACGCCGAGGCCCCGAAGCUGGCGGACCAGGCCGCGGAGGACACGAUCCUGACGACCGGCAUCAAGGUGAUCGACCUCAUUCUGCCCUACUGCAAGGGCGGCAAGAUCGGCCUGUUCGGCGGUGCCGGUGUGGGCAAGACUGUGAUCAUCAUGGAGCUGAUCAACAACGUCGCGAAGGGCCACGGUGGCUUCUCCGUGUUUGCCGGCGUUGGCGAGCGCACGCGCGAGGGCACGGACCUAUACCUGGAGAUGAUGCAGUCGAAGGUGAUUGACCUGAAGGGCGAGUCGAAGUGCGUGCUUGUGUACGGGCAGAUGAACGAGCCCCCGGGUGCGCGCGCGCGCGUUGCGCAGUCUGCGCUGACGAUGGCGGAGUACUUCCGCGACGUGGAGGGCCAGAACGUGCUGCUGUUCAUCGACAACAUCUUCCGCUUCACGCAGGCGAACUCCGAGGUGUCUGCGCUGCUGGGCCGCAUUCCGGCCGCCGUGGGCUACCAGCCGACGCUUGCCGAGGAUCUUGGUAUGCUGCAGGAGCGCAUCACAUCGACGACGAAGGGGUCGAUCACGUCCGUGCAGGCCGUGUACGUGCCGGCGGAUGAUAUCACGGAUCCCGCGCCCGCGACGACGUUCUCGCACCUGGACGCGACGACUGUGCUGGACCGCGCGGUGGCGGAGUCGGGCAUCUACCCUGCCGUGAACCCGCUGGAGUGCGCGUCGCGUAUCAUGGACCCCGAUGUGAUCGAUGUGGACCACUACAACGUUGCGCAGGAUAUCGUGCAGAUGCUGACCAAGUACAAGGAGCUGCAGGAUAUCAUUGCGGUGCUUGGCAUCGACGAGCUGAGCGAGGAGGACAAGGUUGUGGUGGACCGCGCGCGCAAGGUGACCCGGUUCCUGUCGCAGCCGUUCCAGGUUGCGGAGGUGUUCACGGGCAUGACGGGCCACUACGUGCAGCUGGCCGACACGGUGGAGUCGUUCUCUGGCCUGCUGAUGGGGUCGUACGACCAGAUCCCGGAGAUGGCGUUCUACAUGGUUGGCGGCAUCAAGUCUGUUCUGGAGAAGGCGAAGGCCAUGGCGGAGGAGGCUGCAGCGAUGGAGAAGCAGCGUCGCGCGCGCCAGGCCGCGAACGCCUCGGACUCGCAGUAGGCCGCCAGCGACGCGAGACGUGAGUCCGCGGGUGCGUGCUUGACGGCGUUCGCGUGACAGCCACGGAAUGUCCCACGUGGCGAGCGCGGCGUAUCUCGUGCUCUUACAUGUUCUCUCUUCACCGCUCGCCGCCGUGUUAGCGUAUCUGUUUUGAAAAGGGAUGAAAGGCGCUGCAGCGUACCGCGAACGUACGUGUGUGAGGGAAAUGAGGGUGGCGGUGCGAGCCGAGGAUACGGGCCCCCAGCAUGACUGAAGUCAGAGGCAACACAAGCAAGAGCGGCGCACGCGCUGUGGUUGCCGCUCUUCCUCUGUUUCUUUUUGGUGUAGUUGGUGUAACUGUUGCUGAUAUCGAAGUUGUUGAUGUGAGCGGUGCUCGGAGGUGAUGUGGUUAUCGCUGUGGGCGUCACCAUUGAGUCGAGUGAGGCGUAUGCGGCGGCGUCGGCCGAUGCCCGCACACGUGCGCCCACAGACGCACGUGGCGGCAACGAGACAGCUUCACGCGCACACAUCACUGUCAUAGUGAGCACCUCGGACUUAGCACUAGUAGUAAUGACGGAUGUUCGCGUGCGCGGACGGGCACGUAAGCGGGAGGCAGGGAGUCGCAGCCCAGUGUGCGGCCCUUCCGCCAAGGAAAUGAGGAGGGCAGUGGGCGGGCGAAGGAGAGAAGAAAGCAGCAAAGGCCAAGGGUGCUGAGAAACGCUGAUCUUGACUCAGUCACUUGGCGGGAUCAAGACCCACAGACGCGUACAUGCAUACUCUGCCUGAGUGAGGCCCGCCGUUCUCUGGAACACGCACGGGAUGUGGGAACGCUCUCUCGUGGUGUGCACCUGAUAUCUCUCACUUCGCUCUCCUCUCUUGGAGGAUCCGUGAGGCAACGCGGGUCGCUUACUCUCGUCCCCUCUCCAUUCCCUGCCCCAUUCUAGUCGGGAUCAUGUGCAGCAUCAUUUACGUCUUGUACGCGUGUCGAGCACGUGUGUCUGAGCCUGUGUGUGUGUGUGCUUCAGUCCGUAAGUGGGUAUGUGGCAUGGGCCGCAGACGCCGUAGUGACCCCCCAUCCCCCCCUCCACACACACACACACACACACGACAACGUGCAGCACACGCGUGUAGGAAACCCUCUCCCGUCGGAAUUUUGAAAGAGAAACGAUCUUCUUAAAUCCUUUCACUGAAGUGUACACACGGAGCCCACGCACGCCUCUGCACAGAGACAGGCAGCACGUGCAGUAAGACUCAAAGACAUCACACCAGACCGCUCCAGCUGCAUGCGGCCACGUAGACCUGCCUCCCUCCACAGCCUCAGAGCAGUGUAGCACUCACCGCUUAUACCCUCCGAUCCCUGCGGUCGUGUACAGAUAGGUGCUUGAAGAAGGGGAUGGCGUGCUAGCGAUGGUGGGGGGCGGACCGCCAGGGC